rnacentral:rRNA from 1 species
GGUCAAGCGAUUAAGCGCAUACGGUGGAUGCCUUGGCAGCCAGAGGCGAUGAAGGACGUUGUAGCCUGCGAUAAGGUUCGGUGAGGUGGCAAACAACCUGUGACCCGGACAUUUCCGAAUGGGGAAACCCACUCAUCACAAGAUGAGUAUCCUGCACUGAAUCCAUAGGUGCAGGAGGCGAACCGGGGGAACUGAAACAUCUAAGUACCCCGAGGAAAAGAAAUCAACCGAGAUUCCCCAAGUAGCGGCG